UCCAUUCUCUCCCUGAAUCCAUCCCUACCCUGAAUCCAUCCCUACCCUGAAUCCAUUCUCUCCCUGAAUCCAUCCUCUCCCUGAAUCCAUCCUCUCCCUGAACCCAUCCCCGCCGCCCGCCCAGGCACCUUCUGCUGCAUCAGCAGAGCCGUGCACGCCGCUCCCGCAGCGCCAGCUGCCAGCGCUGCCCUGCCUACUCCACCGAUAUUUCUCCUGCCUCUUUGCCAGCUCUGCAGCCCUAACGCCUCAACCCACGGGCACUGCUGGCAUCCUCUCGGGCUCCCCUGGGAUGUCCCCGUGCCCUGCCAAGCCUCCUGCUUUCCCUCCUCUCUGCUGCUCCGUGCUGCUGGCAGGAGAGCUGCAGAGGGGCUGGAUGGGGAUGAGGAGCCCUGAAGGUGACAGGCUGUGGCACCUUGGAUGUGCAGGCAGCAUCCCUGCAGGGAAGAAACCAGCAGCACCUCCUCCCCUUCCCGCCACCACUGUUUUGGGAACAGCAAAGGCUGCGGGAGGCUCGUGGCUAAUGGACUGGAGGUGAAGCUCUGCCUGCCCACACCACACCCCGGGGCUUCCAUUAGAAAGCGCCCACGGCCGCCUUGGGGGUGCGGUGUGCCAAGGGCAGGACUAAUGGAUGGGAGGAAGGGAACUUUUGUGCAAACAAUUAUCCCGGAACAAGAUCACAGCGAGAAAAA